CUUCGGCCCGAGUUGUAAUUUGCAGAGGAUGUGUAUGGUGCGGUGCCUUCCGAGUUCCCUGGAACGGGACGCCACAGAGGGUGAGAGCCCCGUCUGGUUGGACACCAAACCUGUGUUAUACUCCUUCAACGAGUCGAGUAGUUUGGGAAUGCUGCUCUAAAUGGGAGGUAAAUCUCUUCUAAAGCUAAAUACCGGCCAGAGACCGAUAGCGCACAAGUAGAGUGAUCGAAAGAUGAAAAGCACCUUGAAAAGGGGGUUAAACAGUACGUGAAAUUGUUGAAAGGGAAGCGUUUAUGACCAGACUUGUGCCGUGUGGCUCAUCCGAGGUUCUCCCCGGUGCACUCCACGCGGCUCAGGCCAACAUCGGUUCUCGCUGGGGGAUAAGAAUAGUAGGAACGUAGCUCCCCUCGGGGAGUGUUAUAGCCUAUUAUACGAUACCCUGGUGGGGACCGAGGACCGCGCUUCGGCUAGGAUGUUGGCGUAAUGGUCAUUAGCGACCCGUCUUGAAACACGGACCAAGGAGUCGUCCAUUAGAGCGAGCGUUUGGGUGUAAAACCCGCACGCGUAAUGAAAGUGAAAUUAGGUGAGAGCUUCGGCGCAUCAUCGACCGAUCCUGAAGUUUACGGAUGGAUUUGAGUAAGAGUUUUAACGGACGGACCCGAAAGACAGUGAACUAUGCUUGAAUAGGGUGAAGCCAGAGGAAACUCUGGUGGAGGCUCGCAGCGGUUCUGACGUGCAAAUCGAUCGUCAAAUUUGAGCAUGGGGGCGAAAGACUAAUCGAACUGUUAUAGCCUACUAGGCAGUUAAGAGUCUCCCAGUAAUGGGGGGCUAGUAGACCUGUACAGGUUUGCGACACCGUCAAAUUGCGGGGACACCCUGUUAGAAAGCUUGUGCUACCGCCUAUCACUAGAAAUAGUGAUAGGCACCAGGUGUAACGGCCUGGGUAUGGUUAUAAGGCACAAGCCAGGGGCAAUCCGCAGCCAACUCCUACACCCUUCGGGGCAGGGAGGCAGUUCACAGACUAAACGGCGGUGGGCUUACUAUGUAAGCUUAAGAUAUAGUCGAGACCCCCUAGUAAUAGGGCGGUU
rnacentral:rRNA from 1 species